CAGCCGCCGCGGGAAUACGGAGGGUGCGAGCGUUAAUCGGAAUUACUGGGCGUAAAGCGUACGCAGGCGGUUUGUUAAGUCAGAUGUGAAAUCCCCGGGCUUAACCCGGGAACUGCAUUUGAAACUGGCAGGCUAGAGUCUCGUAGAGGGGGGUAGAAUUCCAGGUGUAGCGGUGAAAUGCGUAGAGAUCGGGAGGAACAUCAGUGGCGAAGGCGGCCAUCUGGGACAACACUGACGCUGAGGCACGGAAGCGUGGGGAGCAAACAGGAUUAGAUACCCCUGUAGUCCCUGUCUCUUAUAC
rnacentral:rRNA from 1 species